rnacentral:tRNA from 1 species
GGGAAGGUGGCUCAGUGGUAGAGCACUUGCCUUGCAUGCAUGAGGCACUGGGUUCGAUUCCUCAGCGCCA